rnacentral:misc_RNA from 1 species
CAAGCAUUCCUGGCUCCGUGUAGCUGAGAACUCCUACCCCAACAAGUUGUUUACAACUAAUAGCUUUGAGGAGAAGAACUGUCACAUGCUGUACUAGCCAAAGAAGGAUACUGUUUUCACAAAAUUUUAUGAUGUAAAAUUCUUUUUUAGUGUGUGAUUAUUUGCAUAUACUCAACAGUCUACAGAAUUCAAGGAUUUGCUCAAGUUUGCUUUUUGUUCAUGUAAAGAAAGAUAUCUCCUAUGAAAUGGCAUUCAUUGCUUCCUCUCUCAGACUCAUCUCUCCCAUUCCCCUUUCUCUGAGCCUCUGACAUUUUCAGUGCUCCUGUGCCAAAAUAAUUGCCUGAUUCCUUCUCGAGUUAUGAAUCUUAAAACCCAAAUUAGUUGGAGGGCUUUGCCUAGUUCAGGUCACCAAUAAUCAUCACAAAUACAUAUUCCAUCUCUACAAUGAUGAUAGCAGUUGACAUCUCUAACAACAAUUUCCCUUUCUGUAAUUUUUGAGGUGAACUUGAUUGCAACGUGGCAAUCAUCGCAAAUUUUAAGGUUCUUUGUGAUCAACAGUAUCGUUCCAGGGGGAGUGCUGAUCAAUCCAAAUGCAAUUGCCAACCUCUGGCUGUGACUACGGGUCAUGCUGAUCUUCUCAUCAUCCCCCACAUCAUGGAAAACUGACCCAGUGCUAGGUACACACCCAGCAUCUGCCAUUCGCCCUUCCAACCUCUUUAAUUCAGCAUAUAUUUCUCAGGAUAAGGAUGUGAAGUAUUCCCUGAAAGAAAUGCAUGAACUUUGUUUUUCACAUCAAUCCAGCUACAAGCAGUGCUCUUCUUCAGACCCCUAUCUGUCAUUAUUUUUCUCAGCUUUGCAACUCCAUCCCACUUCCCUGUCUGAGCAUAAAUGUUUGAUAAAAUUACAUAGUUGCCAGUAUCACCAGGUUCUAGUUCAAUCAGCUUCUCUAGUGCCAAUUCCCCAAACUCUACAUUCCCAUGGAUUUUACACGAAUUCAAAAAAGUGCCCCAUACACCAGCAUCAGGCACCACUCUCAUCUGCAUUAUAAGGUCGUAAGCCUCAACCAACCGACCAGAAUGGCCUAGGGGAUCAACCAUACAUGUAUAAUGCUGAAUUGUUGGUUCAAUAUGAUAAUCUCUUACCACUGAUUCAAAAAACAACCAACCUUUGUCAAGCAAACCGCCAUGGCUCCAAGCUGACAAAACACCUGCAAAUGUUAUGUGAUCAGGUUUUGCCUCUUUCCUCAUUUUCUCAAACAAGUCUAGCGCUUAGUUAGAAUGACCAUGCAUUGCAUACCCGGUAAUCAUUGCAUUCCAAGACACGACCCUUUUCUCCCUAAGCUGCUCAAACAAAUUCUGUGCAGCCUUCACAGAACCACACUUGGCAUACAUAUCUAGCAAUGAGGUUUUCACCUUGUCAUUAGACUCGAAUCUCCAUCUCCACGCAAACCCAUGAAGCUCCCUCCCUUGAGGAAGGGCUGCAAUGUCAGCUGAGGCUGAGAUGACGGUUACAAGAGUUGCCUCAGUAGGCCAUAAACCCGCCAACACCAUUUUACUACACAAAGCAAGUGACUCGUCUUGUUUCCCGUUCUGUGAAUAUGCAGCAAGCAUAGAAUUCCACAGAACAGCAUCUCUUACCGAAAUCUUGUCAAAAAUUUCGCGUGCAUUUUCCACACAACCACACUUGGCAUACAUGUCAAUCAACGCUGCACCCACAAACACAUCCCUCUCCCACCCAGUUCUCAUCACUUGCUGAUGAAUCUUCCUCCCAUCCUCAACAGCUGACAAAGCUGAACAUGCUUUAAGCACGAAAGGAAAAGUAAAAUUAUCAGGAACUAACCCAUACUCAAACAUUCUAUAAUAAAGCUCGAUUGCAACUUGGUAAGGACCAUACCACGCAUAACCCCGACUCAAGACAUUCCAUAGAAACAAAUUACCUUUAGGAAUUUUAUCAAAUAACAGGUGGGCUUCACGCAAAGAAUUGCAAACGCAAUACAGAUUAACUAAUUUAGUAGCUAAAACUCAGUCUAAUCCCAGACCCAUAUGGCACAAGCAAGCAUGAAGUUGUUUGCCAGUGAUAAGGGUCUUUUGGGUGAUGCAUGAUUGGAGAAGCGAUGCAUAAUAGGAAGGCGUAUGGCUGGAAGAGAAAGGAAAUGUAAUUUGGGAUUUAGGAUUGCUGGGAAUGGGUUCAAGAGUAGUUGGAGGGUGAAGCGAGUGAAAUGGGAACUGAGUUUGCAGAGGUGAAGGCAAAGAUUGGG